rnacentral:rRNA from 1 species
GACGAACGCUGGCGGCGUGCUUAACACAUGCAAGUCGAACGAAGUGGCGAACGGGUGAGUAACGCGUAAUCAACCUGCCCUGCAGAGGGGGACAACAGUUGGAAACGACUGCUAAUACCGCAUAAUGAAGGAGGGGAGGGCGUCGGAUUAGCUAGUUGGAGGGGUAACGGCCCACCAAGGCGAUGAUCAGUAGCCGGUCUGAGAGGGUGAACGGCCACAUUGGGACUGAGACACGGCCCAGACUCCUACGGGAGGCAGCAGGGGGGAAUCUUCCGAAAUGGACGAAAGUCUGACGGAGCAACGCCGCGUGAGUGAUGACGGCCUUCGGGGUGUAAAGCUCUUUUAAUCGGGACGCGGUACCGGAAUAGAAAGCCACGGCUAACUACGUGCCAGCCGCCGCGGUAAUUC